rnacentral:rRNA from 1 species
AGUUUGAUCCUGGCUCAGGACGAACGCUGGCGGCGUGCUUAACACAUGCAAGUCGAACGGUGAUGCUCCAGCUUGCUGGAGUGGAUCAGUGGCGAACGGGUGAGUAACACGUGAGCAACCUGCCCCAGACUCUGGAAUAAGCGCUGGAAACGGCGUCUAAUACUGGAUACGAAACUGGCCCGCAUGGGCAUGGUUUGGAAAGUUUUUCGGUUUGGGAUGGGCUCGCGGCCUAUCAGCUUGUUGGUGAGGUAAUGGCUCACCAAGGCGACGACGGGUAGCCGGCCUGAGAGGGCGACCGGCCACACUGGGACUGAGACACGGCCCAGACUCCUACGGGAGGCAGCAGUGGGGAAUAUUGCACAAUGGGCGAAAGCCUGAUGCAGCGACGCCGCGUGAGGGAUGACGGCCUUCGGGUUGUAAACCUCUUUCAGCAGGGAAGAAGCGAAAGUGACGGUACCUGCAGAAGAAGCACCGGCUAACUACGUGCCAGCAGCCGCGGUAAUACGUAGGGUGCGAGCGUUGUCCGGAAUUAUUGGGCGUAAAGAGCUUGUAGGCGGUUUGUCGCGUCUGCUGUGAAAAUCCGGGGCUCAACCCCGGACUUGCAGUGGGUACGGGCAGACUAGAGUGUGGUAGGGGAGACUGGAAUUCUCUGGUGUAGCGGUGAAAUGCGCAGAUAUCAGGAGGAACACCGAUGGCGAAGGCAGGUCUCUGGGCCACUACUGACGCUGAGAAGCGAAAGCAUGGGGAGCGAACAGGAUUAGAUACCCUGGUAGUCC